UACGUAGGGUGCGAGCGUUAAUCGGAAUUACUGGGCGUAAAGCGUGCGCAGGCGGUUUUGUAAGUCAGAUGUGAAAUCCCCGGGCUCAACCUGGGAACUGCGUUUGAAACUACAAGGCUAGAGUGUAGCAGAGGGGGGUGGAAUUCCACGUGUAGCAGAGAAAUGCGUAGAGAUGUGGAGGAACACCGAUGGCGAAGGCAGCCCCCUGGGUUAACACUGACGCUCAGGCACGAAAGCGUGGGGAGCAAACAGG
rnacentral:rRNA from 1 species